rnacentral:rRNA from 1 species
UUAAUACAUGCAAGUCGUGGGGCAGCGCAGUGUAGCAAUACAUGGGCGGCGACCGGCAAACGGGUGCGGAACACGUACGCAACCUUCCUUUAAGUGGGGGAUAGCCCAGGGAAACUUGGAUUAAUACCCCGUAAUAUUAUGAGGUGGCAUCAUCUUAUAAUUAUAGCUCCGGCGCUUAAAGAUGGGCGUGCGUCUGAUUAGGUAGUUGGCGGGGUAAUGGCCCACCAAGCCUACGAUCAGUAACUGGUGUGAGAGCACGACCAGUCACACGGGCACUGAGACACGGGCCCGACUCCUACGGGAGGCAGCAGUAAGGAAUAUUGGUCAAUGGACGCAAGUCUGAACCAGCCAUGCCGCGUGAAGGAUGAAGGUCCUCUGGAUUGUAAACUUCUUUUACCUGGGAAGAAACCCACAAUUUCCAUUGUGGUUGACGGUACCAGAUGAAUAAGCACCGGCUAACUCCGUGCCAGCAGCCGCGGUAAUACGGAGGGUGCAAGCGUUAUCCGGAUUCACUGCGUUUAAAG